rnacentral:rRNA from 1 species
GCAAUGGACGAAAGUCUGACGGAGCAACGCCGCGUGAGUGAUGAAGGUUUUCGGAUCGUAAAGCUCUGUUGUUAGGGAAGAACAAGUGCCGUUCAAAUAGGGCGGCACCUUGACGGUACCUAACCAGAAAGCCACGGCUAACUACGUGCCAGCAGCCGCGGUAAUACGUAGGUGGCAAGCGGUGUCCGGAAUUAUUGGGCGUAAAGGGCUCGCAGGCGGUUUCUUAAGUCUGAUGUGAAAGCCCCCGGCUCAACCGGGGAGGGUCAUUGGAAACUGGGGAACUUGAGUGCAGAAGAGGAGAGUGGAAUUCCACGUGUAGCGGUGAAAUGCGUAGAGAUGUGGAGGAACACCAGUGGCGAAGGCGACUCUCUGGUCUG